CUGGCGGCAGGCCUAACACAUGCAAGUCGAGCGGUAGAGAGGUGCUUGCAUCUCUUGAGAGCGGCGGACGGGUGAGUAAUGCCUAGGAAUCUGCCUAGUGGUGGGGGAUAACGUUCGGAAACGGACGCUAAUACCGCAUACGUCCUACGGGAGAAAGCGGGGGAUCUUCGGACCUCGCGCCAUUAGAUGAGCCUAGGUCGGAUUAGCUAGUUGGUGAGGUAAUGGCUCACCAAGGCGACGAUCCGUAACUGGUCUGAGAGGAUGAUCAGUCACACUGGAACUGAGACACGGUCCAGACUCCUACGGGAGGCAGCAGUGGGGAAUAUUGGACAAUGGGCGAAAGCCUGAUCCAGCCAUGCCGCGUGUGUGAAGAAGGUCUUCGGAUUGUAAAGCACUUUAAGUUGGGAGGAAGGGUAGUAACCUAAUACGUUGCUACUUUGACGUUACCGACAGAAUAAGCACCGGCUAACUUCGUG
rnacentral:rRNA from 1 species